CACAGCAGAAAGACUCUAAAUACAAAAUGCUAACGACACAAGAAUUGCUGUUUGUUCUGUGUUUAACUUAUGCCUUGAGAGCACAGGUGUGUGCUGGAUCCAGUGAGACAGUGUGGUGUGGUCUAUCCAGCCCUGAAGUUACCUGGUACAGACACAAGCCUGGUCAGUCCCCUCAGGCCAUCCUUCUUUACUCAGAGAAGUCCGCUCUGCCUCCAUCUUAUUACAAUGGAUUCAUGGACACAAAGUUCAAGGCUUCCAGUGAAGGAGGAACUAAUAUCCUGGUCAUUGUUAAUGUCACUGAGGACGACACAGCGACAUACUACUGCAGCAAGGAACGUGGGAAGGUGGAGAUUGGGAAUGGAUCUCUGGUGACAUUAACUGGCAGCAUAUGUGGAAGAAUACAAGAUAUUCACACUGAAGGUCAAACCGUGGAUAUUUUUCUGUGUCUUUCAAUCGUCUUUGCUGUCAUCAUAUCGCUGACGUACAUGGGAAUUGCUGUCUACUGUUUCAGAAGAAGAGGUUCAAGGAGUGAACAGACAAAACAGAGAGAGAAGAAGACGAAUGAAACGGAAUAUAUUUAUGAGACCAUGAAUGGUAUUUGCAGGACUUGAGACAUGGAGACAAGGCCGUUUAUGAUGUCUGCAGGACACAGCUGGAUGUGACAUCAGCAGAGAAGAGGAAUAUAUACAGAUAAAUUACCCACAGCUGGAUUCCAGUUGACUCCAAUGCUUAUUUUGUACUGUAUGUGUGUGUGUGUUUAUGUACCGGUUGAGUGAGAUUGAUAGAUUUUUGUUUUUGUUUUAAUGAUUAAAAUCCUCAGAUCAAAAUUUGUUUUUAUAAAACAAAAAUAUUGAAAUUGUUCUUUGGAUUUUGAUUGGAUUUCCAUACUUUUAAGGCUAGUUGCAAUGCAAUCACACCAUCUUUGCUUUCAAGCUGGGAUUUUGGUAUUACCCGCACAACAAUCUUUAUCCUCAGAAUUAUUAAAUGUAAAUACUUGAUGUUCUCUGCAUGUUCAUUAUCACAGUACAAAGUAGUGAGGUAAACAGAUAGAGGAAUGCGUUCAUGAAAUCACAGAGCUGAGUUAAAUUCACAGGGACAUUUGGACCUGGGUGCCUUUCCUUAUUUGUGACUUCCCUGGUUGUAUUGGAGGUCGUCCACUUUCCCACUAGAGAUGCAGAGUGAUAGUGUCCUUGUAUGCUGGAGUGAGUUUAUCCAGUUACUGUAUGUAAAAUACACAAUUGGUAAGUAACACUUCUUAAUGUUCAGUUGUGUAAACCAGUAAUUAUAAUAAUGCCAAAAUGAGGUUGGUUGUCCUUUGUUUUAGAAAAUGUCAAAUUUAGCACAAUAUCUGAAGACAUACUGUACUUCACACAGAACUAACACAGGGCUUGUUCACAGCAGGUGACUCGGAGCUGUUUCAGUUUUCAGUAAAUGAGAUGAUUAACCGGAAAACGUUCAAGUAAAGCAAUGUGGCUUUUCACACACUUUUCUUUCAGCUUCAGCUCUUAUAAGGGGUAAAUUUCAAUCAGUGUCUAGUUUUGAAAAAAUACGUUUGUGA